rnacentral:lncRNA from 1 species
AUGCCUGUUAAACUCGUUCCAAGGUCAAGAGGUAGAGGUGGUCAUUUUGUUCCAAACCCAAAAGUCUUCGAUAAAAAAAGACUGGUUCGCAAACACAGCACGUGCACAAAUAUAAGAGACAGGAUUUUUUGCAUGAAUCAAUCACAGCCGACUACGACAAGUCAUAUCCAAUCAUAUUGCAAUGGAAGCAUGCCUCCUUUCAUGUGACUUUCCCCCAUUCAUUCUCAAUUACCCCCGGACCAAAGAGAGGCUUCACACUGUGAGCCUUAGUGCUCAAUUUUGAUUUUUGCAGUGUAUAACACUGGUGGGAGAUAGAAAUCUGAUUAUUUAUUAAAUUUAUUUUAUUCAUAUUGUGAGAGUGACUGUUUUUUAUGGGUUGUUAGUGUAUUACAUCUGUUUUUCAUUGAUGGAUUUUGUUUGUAGUGAUGUAUAUUUCACAAUAAAGCACUGUAGAUAUUGUUAGUUGGUUUCUAUUAAUGGGGUCAGUUUCAUAUAACAUUGCCAACUGCUGUACAAUAUUUCAUCUAUCAUCCCUCACAAGCAUCAUAAAGUGUAUUUAUGCAUUAUAAAUAUCUCAAAGCUUGAAUCUGAAUUCCUUUCAUAUUACAUAAUCCCCAUCAAACCCUUUUUGCAAAUGUGUCCUCUUAAUUUUUGUCUAAUUGUAUCAUGAGAGCUUUCACUAAUGGUCUUUUGAGUUAAUUACAGAUUUCAGAUUUUGGCUGUGUUCCGCCUCCUCCAUCUUUCUACAGAAACAACAAUAAUCUGUUCAUCAACAUAAAGUCUUCGUCAACACAUAACAGUAAUAUGCAACACAAUCUCAUGGCAAUUCAUAACUAUAACCACUGACAGUUAGGCUAUAUUUUUAGGGGGUAUGUUUUUGUAUGAUUUAUUUUGUACAAAUGCAUACAAAACCACACUCAUCAUAAAAUACUUAAGGCUGGUAAUAUUCAGGGUGCAGUGACUUAAUGUACAAGUUAUAUAAAAAAAAGUCCUGGCUCUUUCAAGUUUUGUAGGUCUCUUUCAAGUUUUG